CCUACGGGAGGCAGCAGUGAGGAAUAUUGGUCAAUGGGCGGGAGCCUGAACCAGCCACGUCGCGUGAGGGAAGAAGGUAUUGAGUAUUGUAAACCUCUUUUGCCAGGGGACAAAGGCGGCCACGGGUUGCCGUAAGAGGGUACCUGGAGAAAAAGCAUCGGCUAACUCCGUCCCAGCAGCCGCGGUAAUAGGGGGGAUGCGAGGGUUAUCCGGAUUUAUUGGGUUAAAGGGGUGCGCAGGCGGGGUGUCAGGUCAGCGGGAAAAUGUCGGGGCUCAACCCCGACCGGCCGUUGAAACUGGCGUGCUCGAGUUGGAGAGAGGUAUGCGGAAUUCGUGGUGUAGCGGUGAAAUGCAUAGAUAUCACGAAGAACCCCGAUUGCGAAGGCAGCAUACCGGCUCCACACUGACGCUGAGCCACGAAAGCGUGGGUAUCGAACAGGAUUAGAUACCCUAGUAGUC
rnacentral:rRNA from 1 species